GAUGAACGCUGGCGGCGUGCCUAAUACAUGCGAGUCGAGCGAACGGACGAGAAGCUUGCUUCUCUGAUGUUAGCGGCGGACGGGUGAGUAACACGUGGAUAACCUACCUAUAAGACUGGGAUAACUUCGGGAAACCGGAGCUAAUACCGGAUAAUAUUUUGAACCGCAUGGUUCAAAAGUGAAAGACGGUCUUGCUGUCACUUAUAGAUGGAUCCGCGCUGCAUUAGCUAGUUGGUAAGGUAACGGCUUACCAAGGCAACGAUGCAUAGCCGACCUGAGAGGGUGAUCGGCCACACUGGAACUGAGACACGGUCCAAACUCCUACGGGAGGCAGCAGUAGGGAAUCUUCCGCAAUGGGCGAAAGCCUGACGGAGCAACGCCGCGUGAGUGAUGAAGGUCUUCGGAUCGUAAAACUCUGUUAUUAGGGAAGAACAUAUGUGUAAGUAACUGUGCACAUCUUGACGGUACCUAAUCAGAAAGCCACGGCUAACUACGUG
rnacentral:rRNA from 1 species